ensembl:processed_transcript
GUUUAAAUUUCAACAAGCCGUCGUCUCAUUCAUCAACAACUGAGGAGACGCUAUUUUCACAUGGAGGUAAUCUUCUAUUGAUAAUUUCUGGAUUUUAAAAUGGUUUCAGCUGUUGAAUUCACCUCAGAUCAGUGUUGCUGUAAUUCCCGAUCUAUGGAAAGAAUAAUUGAAUGAGCGAGCAACGCCACAACUACAGGACCUCUUCUUUCUCUUCUCAUAAUUUAACUGGAUUAUCUGUUGAAUUUGUUUUUUUCCUCUGACAGCUUUCUCCAUACCAACAACUAUGCCUGGUCUUCAGCUGCGCUCCCCGGUCUGCUGUAUUCUCCAGUCCAGCUUCACUGCCCAGUGUCUGAAUUUUAAUUUAUAUAUUUAUUUAUAUAUAUAUAUUUACAUUUUAAUGAUUUCUUGUUUACUUUUCUUGUUUGCUUACCCUUUAGUUUAAUUAUAUAUAUAUAUAUAUGUAUAUAUAUAUAUAUAUAUAUAUAAUCUAAACUUUAUACUGUUUGUUUAUAAUUAGAUGUGUACUGUAUGUAUUAAAUGUUGUGAAAUAUAUAAUAAAAAGUUUGAUUAUA